rnacentral:rRNA from 1 species
AACGAACGCUGGCGGCAGGCUUAACACAUGCAAGUCGAGCGCCCCGCAAGGGGAGUGGCAGACGGGUGAGUAACGCGUGGGAAUCUACCCAGCUCUACGGAAUAACUCAGGGAAACUUGUGCUAAUACCGUAUACGUCCGAUAGGAGAAAGAUUUAUCGGAGUUGGAUGAGCCCGCGUUGGAUUAGCUAGUUGGUGGGGU